rnacentral:rRNA from 1 species
GGCCAGACUCCUACGGGAGGCAGCAGUGGGGAAUAUUGCACAAUGGGGGAAACCCUGAUGCAGCGACGCCGCGUGAGUGAAGAAGUAUUUCGGUAUGUAAAGCUCUAUCAGCAGGGAAGAAAAUGACGGUACCUGAUUAAGAAGCCCCGGCUAACUACGUGCCAGCAGCCGCGGUAAUACGUAGGGGGCAAGCGUUAUCCGGAUUUACUGGGUGUAAAGGGAGCGUAGGCGGCGCGCCAAGUCUGAUGUGAAACCCCGGGGCUCAACCCCGGGCAUGCAUUGGAAACUGGCGGGCUGGAGUGCCGGAGAGGUAAGCGGAAUUCCUAGUGUAGCGGUGAAAUGCGUAGAUAUUAGGAGGAACACCAGUGGCGAAGGCGGCUUACUGGACGGCAACUGACGCUGAGGCUCGAAAGCGUGGGGAGCAAACAGGAUUAGAUACCCUCGUA